UACGUAGGGGGCAAGCGUUGUCCGGAUUUAUUGGGCGUAAAGAGCGUGUAGGCGGCUAGGUAGGUCCGUUGUGAAAACUCGAGCUCAACCUCGAGACGCCGGUGGAAACCAUCUAGCUAGAGUCCGGAAGAGGAGAGUGGAAUUCCUGGUGUAGCGGUGAAAUGCGCAGAUAUCAGGAAGAACACCCGUGGCGAAGGCGACUACCUGGCCUGUUCUUGACGCUGAGGCGCGAAAGCUAGGGGAGCAAACGGG
rnacentral:rRNA from 1 species